AUGGCGGACGAAUCGAGUACGCAGGGGCGGCAGGCAAGGGAGUCGCCGGAAGAGUUACUUGCACGGCUUAAUCUGCAGGAAGAGGAGGAGGAUGCUUUUGUUUGGGAGGAGGAACUGCCGAACCUGGGAGCCCUGGCGAAGUGGCUGGCCAUUGCCAGAGUACACACCUCGAAGAAUUUCAGCCCUAAUGCUCUGUACGGGGACAUGCGGGCGGCAUGGAAUCCGGCUAAGCAUGUAGUGUGGAUUAAGAUCAAAGAUAACCUAUUUACAGCUCAGUUUGGAUGUUUGGGUGACUGGAACAAGGCCAUGUUGGAGGGCCCGUGGCUGUUUAGAGAUCAUGCUGUAAUCAUGGAGGAGUAUGAUGGUUUUAAAAAUCCUGACAGCUUUAAGUUGGACAAGAUGGAAGUAUGGGCACAGGUCCAUCGGCUUCCCGAUAAUUUCCUGAUUGAACUGACGGUUAGGGGGAUGGCAUCUCACAUCGGGGAGGUAGAGGAAGUCCAGCUUAAGCUCCCAGCAGGUUUAUUUGCUGAAUUUGUCAGAGUGAGGAUGAAGAUAGAUAUAUAUGCUAAGAUCAAGAGGUUCGUGACUGGAAAGAAGGGAUAA
rnacentral:rRNA from 1 species